AGUUCCUUACUACAUGGAUACCUGUGGUAAUUCUAGAGCUAAUACAUGCUGAAAACCUCGACUUCGGAAGGGGUGUAUUUAUUAGAUAAAAAACCAAUGCCCUUCGGGGCUCCUUGGUGAAUCAUAAUAACCUAACGAAUCGCAUGGCCUUGCGCCGGCGAUGGUUCAUUCAAAUUUCUGCCCUAUCAACUUCGAUGGUAGGAUAGUGGCCUACCAUGGUGGCAACGGGUAACGGGGAAUUAGGGUUCCAUUCCGGAGAGGGAGCCUGAGAAACGGCUACCACAUCCAAGGAAGGCAGCAGGCGCGCAAAUUACCCAAUCCCGACACGGGGAGGUAGUGACAAUAAAUACUGAUACGGGGCUCUAAUGGGUCUCGUAAUUGGAAUGAGUACAAUCUAAAUCCCUUAACGAGGAACAAUUGGAGGGCAAGUCUGGUGCCAGCAGCCGCGGUAAUUCCAGCUCCAAUAGCGUAUAUUAAAGUUGUUGCAGUUAAAAAGCUCGUAGUUGAACCUUGGGUCUGGCUGGCCGGUCCGCCUCACCGCGAGUACUGGUCCGGCUGGACCUUUCCUUCUGGGGAAUCUCAUGGCCUUCACUGGCUGUGGGGGGAACCAGGACUUUUACUGUGAAAAAAAUUAGAGUGUUCAAAGCAGGCCUUUGCUCGAAUACAUUAGCAUGGAAUAUAC
rnacentral:rRNA from 1 species